AGUAUUCAUUGUUAUCAAGCGCUUAGCUCUAGAAUUUUCUUUACCGCCUCCUUAUCCUAUGCACUCGGCUCCCUAGGAUAUUCUUCACCUUGAUUCUCCCAACCUUCCUGUACGUAUUCUACUGCUCCACCGAUCGGCUCCCUCUGACCUCCGUGCUACUGGUCGCCAGCACUCGGCACUCAGGCCGUUGGACACCGUCGUCGUGAGUCGCGCUCGUCUCUACCUCUACAUAUACUAGCGCCCAGCGCCCAGCGCCCUACACCUGCUCACCCGCUCCCCAUCGCGCUCGACACCGCCCCAGCUUCAAGCUGCACUUGCCGGACAGCAUCCUCCUCGUCGCGCUCAAAAGCAGCCACUUGACUCAUUUUUCCUUGCUCUGAUGCGUCAUCGCGUGGAGCUGCCCAACGCCGGUGUUGCAUACUACGCCUACUGCUCACUCUACAGCAGCUCGCUGGCUCCCUAAAAAUUCCCAGUCAUCUUUCGACUUCCUGCCUCGCCGUUCGUCGUGUCGUCAUCCAUGCUGUCUCGCGACGUCGGACUCCUCACACUUUGUUUCCUCCAUGUUGGCGAUGCUUGCUGAAAGCCUGAAUCACGUUACUGGUGGAUCAAUCGCUUGGUGAAACAAUUUCCUAGAGACUUGUCAUCACCCUGAAGACUUAUGACAUUUUAUUUUCUUAGUCUUCUGCUCUUCUCGGCAGCAAAGAUAAGCCCCGGUGCAUUCACCACUUUCCUUGUUGUUUACAAAAGUUUUAUCACUGUAUAUGAUGCAUUAGGUGCUAGGAGUUGCGUGAUCAAACAAUUGAUGCAUUACCAUCCUUGAGAAUUUGAAUAAUCAUUCCUUGAUACCUAUUUUAUGAAAAACUAGUGCUGCUUAGCCCUGCUUAAAGUGAUAAGAUUUUGAAAUUUAUUUUGAUUACUGGUUAUUGUUAUGUGUGAAUGAACUUGAGUUAGAUAAUUAAUAUGAGACCGGGUGGGUGGCUUGCAUCGUGAAAUGAGUCAGUGUAGUGCUCCGCCUGUGUCGAUUAAGGACCAUUCGAUGUAGGCUUGAUGAGGUGAGACUUUGCAACUAGCCACAUGCUCUGGUAAGUCUGAACCCGACUAUUUCAUACGUGAAAAGACAACCACGCACUGGGCGUGGGAGAUGGUGGGAGUAGCGUGUACCCUCCUGGCUAGAGGCUGGACGGAGGAGUACUGUGCUCCCGGGUAGCGCGGACCGGUUCACGUUGUGGAGGAUCUGUGAGUACGAUUGACAUAUGCAAGGGUUAAGUGCUACAUAUGUCGUGUGGUUAGGAAUCCCUAGCUGGGUAUAAUCGGUUCGAAUCGUCGUUGCUCCUCGGUUAUAGAGACUCGACUCACUGACCACUCAUCGUAGUUAAUAAGUGAAACAUGAAUUGGCUAAAAGAAAGCUAGAUGGACAAGUGAAUGCUCUAGAUCAGGAAAAUCUAGAAUCAGGUAAGAACUGAAAUUGAUAAUUAAAAGAUGGCUUAAGGAUCUACUAUUAGUAAGUUUUUCUGCAAAAUGAGUACUUGAUUAUUGCUUAGACUUACCUUGAUUCCUAAAAGCCAACAUAUCCUUGGAGUCUUUUUCUUUAGUCGGGUAAGACUUGCGAAAGUACACUUCGUACUCAGAGUUUUCGAACUCAUGUUGCUGCAGGUAAUAGAUUUGUGCUGCUGUUGAUGGUGCUAAGUGUCGGUGGGCUCGGCCUCCCUAUAUAAGUAAUCUUUACCUUCUUUUUGAGGAUUGUCAAUUAUGCUAGCAUGUAAUCCGAACUUACAAAUAUUUUAUAACAUUUCAAAGUAUAAUAUUUUAAUCACAUUUGUAAUCACUCCGAUAAUGUAAACUUAUUGUAAUUUGAAAGCUUUGUAAUAAAAAUUCCUCUGCAAAAACUUUGGUAUGUGAUUUGUGUUUACUUAAUCUUGUGAUCUUGGUGGUAAGUGGUUUAUCCGAGGUCCCCUAGGACACUCGGACAGAUCCUGUUAAGUUAUCGGGCACACAUGUAUAACUGUUUGAGGUCUUUGAGACAAGGACAUGUACAUGUGGGUCAUAUAAUUUGGGAGGAUCCGCCACACCAACCACCUCCAUUCAAGAUACCCAAGCCUCUCAUUCAAUACAAGAGCAUUCACUUCAACCAAAGACACA